rnacentral:piRNA from 1 species
GCCACGACGUAUGAGGAGCGGGAUGC